rnacentral:miRNA from 1 species
AAAACCCGAAUGAACUUUUUGU